rnacentral:sRNA from 1 species
CUAAAUAUAAAACCAUAAAAUUUAAUUUUAUUAUAUAUGAAAAAUAUUUGCCCCGUAGUGUAUCACGGGUUAAAUUCUAGUUUACUUUAAAUGCCGUUUGUUUUAUAUUAGCCCGUUGAUAGAAAACAUUUCU